rnacentral:rRNA from 1 species
ACGGGUGAGUAAUACAUCGGAACGUGUCCUGGAGUGGGGGAUAGCCCGGCGAAAGCCGGAUUAAUACCGCAUACGCUCUAUGGAGGAAAGCGGGGGAUCUUCGGACCUCGCGCUCAAGGGGCGGCCGAUGGCAGAUUAGCUAGUUGGUGGGGUAAAGGCCUACCAAGGCGACGAUCUGUAGCUGGUCUGAGAGGACGACCAGCCACACUGGGACUGAGACACGGCCCAGACUCCUACGGGAGGCAGCAGUGGGGAAUUUUGGACAAUGGGGGCAACCCUGAUCCAGCAAUGCCGCGUGUGUGAAGAAGGCCUUCGGGUUGUAAAGCACUUUUGUCCGGAAAGAAAACCUCCGUCCUAAUACGGUGGGGGGAUGACGGUACCGGAAGAAUAAGCACCGGCUAACUACGUGCCAGCAGCCGCGGUAAUACGUAGGGUGCAAGCGUUAAUCGGAAUUACUGGGCGUAAAGCGUGCGCAGGCGGUUCGCUAAGACCGAUGUGAAAUCCCCGGGCUUAACCUGGGAACUGCAUUGGUGACUGGCGGGCUAGAGUAUGGCAGAGGGGGGUAGAAUUCCACGUGUAGCAGUGA